rnacentral:rRNA from 1 species
AGCAGUCGCCACGGUAAUACGUAGGGUGCGAGCGUUAAUCGGAAUUACUGGGCGUAAAGCGUGCGCAGGCGGUUCUAUAAGACAGAUGUGAAAUCCCCGGGCUCAACCUGGGAACUGCAUUUGUGACUGUAGAGCUGGAGUGCGGCAGAGGGGGAUGGAAUUCCGCGUGUAGCAGUGAAAUGCGUAGAGAUGUGGAGGAAUACCGAUGGCGAAGGCAGCCCCCUGGGCCAAUACUGACGCUCAUGCACGAAAGCGUGGGGAGCAAACAGGAUUAGAUACCCGUGUAGUCCCUGUCUCUUAUAC